rnacentral:tRNA from 1 species
GCUCACCUAGCUCAGAGUUGGUAGAGCACUUCCUUGGUAAGGAAGAGGUCGGCGGUUCAAACCCGCUGGUGAGCCCCA